AGACUUCAGAAUUCUCACAUUUUAAUGGGAAGUUAUGAAACAGUUGCUGUUUAUAGAACCCCAUACUCUGCAGAGAAAUGUAUUCCUCUUUCAAUGGACUAAAAGAUGAAAAGAAUGCUCCUAACGAAAAGGUCUACAGCUCUUGCUUUACAAUGUGAAUAAUUAACCAGCAUAAAAUUAUUUAAGGAGUCAAGUCUCAAGAGGCUGACACACCUGGGCUGAACCUGGAAGUCUCCAGGUUUUGAAUUUGCGAGGCGGCUUGAGCUAACCCUAGGGCACGAAGCUGAAGGGCAGCCAGCGCUGGGUAAGGCAACCUGGAGAGGGUAAGCUUUCAAACAAAGGAACCCCCCACUCC
rnacentral:lncRNA from 1 species